AAUCAACGCUGGCGGCGUGCCUAACACAUGCAAGUCGAACGAGAAAGUGGAGCAAUCCAUGAGUACAGUGGCGACCGGGUGAGUAACACGUGACUAACCUACCCUCGAGUGGGGGAUAACUCCGGGAAACCGGGGCUAAUACCGCAUAACAUCGCGAGGUGAAAUUCCUUGUGAUCAAAGGAGCAAUUCGCUUGAGGAGGGAGUCGCGUCUGAUUAGCUAGUUGGUGAGGUAACGGCCCACCAAGGCAAUGAUCAGUAGCCGGCCUGAGAGGGCGCACGGCCACACUGGAACUGAAACACGGUCCAGACUCCUACGGGAGGCAGCAGUGGGGAAUUUUGCGCAAUGGGGGAAACCCUGACGCAGCAACGCCGCGUGGAGGAUGAAGUCCUUUGGGAUGUAAACUCCUUUCGACCGGGACGAUAAUGACGGUACCGGAGGAAGAAGCACCGGCUAACUCUGUGCCAGCAGCCGCGGUAAGAC
rnacentral:rRNA from 1 species